UACGUAUGGAGCAAGCGUUAUCCGGAUUUACUGGGUGUAAAGGGAGCGCAGGCGGUCUGGCAAGUCUGGUGUGAAAGGCCGGGGCUCAACCCCGGGACUGCAUUGGAAACUGUCAGACUGGAGUGUCGGAGAGGCAAGCGGAAUUCCUAGUGUAGCGGUGAAAUGCGUAGAUAUUAGGAGGAACACCAGUGGCGAAGGCGGCUUGCUGGACGAUGACUGACGCUGAGGCUCGAAAGCGUGGGGAGCAAACAGG
rnacentral:rRNA from 1 species